UUUUAUUACUUUUUUAUUUUCAUUUUUUCUUUCAGAUUGUUAUGGUGUAAUAAUUCAGGUUAAUCCAUUUUAUGUUAAUCAUUUUUUUAAUUUAUUUGGUGUUAAACAAAGAGAAUGAUCAUUAAGGAUUUUUGGUGAACAAUUGUAAAAGGAAGGCCAAGACUUGAACCUAGAUUCACUUUUGAUUUUCAUUAGAAGGAAAAUUUGGUGAUCUUGGAUUAUUUAUUUAUUUAUUACUUUUGCCAUUGAUGAAUUGAAAAGAAAGCUUUUAAUUAUGUGUUCUUAACCGUGCUUAUGCUAUUAUACUCGCAUUCAACUUUAGGACAAUUUUCCUUGAAUUGGAGGUUGCUUGUGAUGUCUCAUACCUCAAACAUUGCCCUAUGGCUUGUCAAUGUCUUUGAUAUCUCUCUACCAUGAGCUCACAUGGUUUGUGGUUUGUUGAUGUCUCUUUGCCAUAAGCUCACACGGUUUGUUAUUUGUUGGGUUGGAUUGACUUAUGGAUGAAGUUUGAAAAUUUAUUCAGACUAGUGAGUAAGAAAUAUUGAAAAACUUUUGGUGAAAAUUUAUUCAGACAAUUCAGUCUUCCCUUCCAUAUAAGGCUCUUCUCUUCCACAGAGCCUGCAGCUCCCUUACGUAUGUCGUGACAAAGAUUGUUUCUAUGCUGUGCUCCUUGUGCAAGUAUAUAAGACCCUGCCUAGAGUUUAUAUGGUGUGCACCAAGGGAGAGAGGUCGUGUAUACAAUAAGACAUUGCUAGUAUCCUGUGUAUAAUAUAUGACCAAUUUUGUUUGAUAUUGUCUAGGUAUAUUACAAUGAGAGCAACGUUUGAGUUUACUCCUAUGUUGUCUAUUGCAAUGGCUGUUACAUGAGCUUUUUAAUACAGAAGAUGGACAUUAGUGUUAGUUUGACAUAACGUGAUUAAAUCCUUUUGAUAGAUGGAAACACUUUCCCAAUACAGCCUUUAACAUUUUUCCCGCCUUUUGACCAUUCUCAUACAUGGGAAGGUGCUCUUCUGUAUUUAAAGAUUCGAGGUUAUCAUGUGUUUUCUUCAUCAAUAGCAUUCCUCUCUAUAUUGAAAUCGAAAUAUUAACUUCAGUUGCUUGAAUACUUUAAAGGAUUAACUUGAUAUCAAGCAAAUGGUAACUGGAAUGACAUCUCUCAGUCUAUUCCAGAGUUUAUGCAAAGCAUGUAAUGUAUUAUGCUGUCCGUUUGUGCAUACUAACCUGAAGGAAGAAAUCUUACUUUAAAA